rnacentral:rRNA from 1 species
GUGAAUGCUAGCGGUGUGCCUAAGGUAUGCAAGUCGAACGAUUCUGCAGCAAUGCAAAGUAGUGGCGAACGGCUGAGUAACACGUGGGAAUCUACCCCUAAGUAAGGCAUAGCCCCUCGAAAGAGGGAGUAAUUCCUUAUGUGAAGGAAACUUCAAAGCAGUUUGUGGUGCAAGCCACAAAUGGCGCUUGGGGAUGAGCCUGCGGCCUAUCAGGUAGUUGGUAAGGUAAAAGCCUACCAAGCCUAUGACGGGUAGCUGGUGUUAGCGCAUGACCAGCCAGAAGGGCACUGAGACACGGGCCUUACUCCUACGGGAGGCAGCAAUCGGGAAUCUUCCACAAUGGACGAAAGUCUGAUGGAGCGACACCGCGUGAGGGAUGACGGCCCUCGGGUUGUAAACCUCGUUAUAAGCACCGGCUAACUACGU